AGGGCAGGGGGGCUGUGCAGGGGGCGCGGGGGGUCCUUUGCAGCGGCGGCGGUGUCGGGGCUGCAGUACCGGCCGUGUCCGCCAGGCGGAGACUGCGGGGCCCAGCGGGACACGGCCCGGGCGGGACCCGCUGCCGGGGGUGGGAAUGGGGCCGCUGGAAUGGGGGCUGCGGGAAAAGAGGGUUUCUCCUGUGCAGGUCAGUCCUUGGGCUGGAAUGGAACUUAGGAAAUGGGCUGGGCUGGCCCCAGAGAGCGUCACUGAAGUCGGCAUGAAUGACCUGACCUGUGCCCACUGCUCCUUAUUCACCCAACAGAAACCCAGAGCAAGUGUUGGUUUGGUUUGAAGAACUUCAAUAACUAUAAAACAAUAUAAAUCAGCCUUUUCUCCUUCUUGUUUCAUUUUGGGUGGUGGAAUUGCCUCUCUGUCCGUGUGCUGAGCUCCAGCUGCAGGGACUGUCAGGCAUUGUUGGCUAUGGUGGAAUUGCCUCUCUGUCCAUGUGCCUGAGCUCCAGCUGCAGGGACUGUCAGGCAUUGUUGGCUAUGGUGGAAUUGCCUCUCUGUCCAUGUGCUGAGCUCUGGCUGCAGGGACUGUCAGGCAUUGUUGGCUGGAAAAACCCUGGAGCAAGAGGUGCCCAAAAGCACUGGGGUUUGUGCCCAGCGAAAGCUGCGAGUGUCCAGCUUCCAACCCCCGCGGACCGUCCCCGGCGCGACUUGCCCGGAGCGCUGCCCUCGGCCGGGAGCGUCCGAUCCCGCCGGGAAUGCGGGAGCGGAGACUCGGCGGGACAUCGGUGACUGGGAGCGGGAGGGGCGGGACUGGGACCGUAAAAGGGUGUGGGGCGGUGACCGGGGUGACUGAGAGCUCC